CUUUGUUGUUUAAUUGUAUACAAUAAAAUUAAAUAUAAUUAAUAAUUUAAUUACUUAAUUAUUUCUAUGAGUAGGAAUGUAAUAUAAUUCUAUUGUGUGUUUAGAAUCAUGUAUAGGUUAUUUAGGUUUCGGUCUCAAAUAAAUAAUGGAUUUCCUCAAAUAGUUUUAAUUGACAAGCCUCAUUUAUUAAAAACAGUGAAAUAUUCUAAUAUUCCAGAAAGUCUGCAAACUAAAACUAAGACUAAACAGUUUAAAAGAAAUUUAAAACGAUUUUCAGAAGUAGUACAAGUUACCAGUAGUGUUGCCAGUCAAUCUAAAGUAAAAGUAAAACAUUUAAAACCUAACCAAGUGCAAAAAAUGGUUGCCUGUAAAAAACCAUUGGCUAUGUUUCCUAAGACAUCAAAAACAAAUAAUAGUUGUUCUGAUAAAGUUUCCAUAAAAACUAUAUCUAACAUAAAAAAACACAGCAUUAAAGAAGAGCUGUUAGAUGAAAUGGAUGAAAUGAAUGAAGAUCAAAUCAGUUUGCUUAAAGAUACUGAUUUUUUACAAACAAUAACUAUGACAGAAAAUGACAUUGAAAAUAAAUUUGUUUCCAAUCAUUUAAAAGAAGAGCAAGACUUUUAUAAUAGCAUUGAACUAUCUAAAAGUAAAGAUAAAUUAUCAAAAAGAGAGCGUAAUCGAAAUAUCGCUGCAAAAAAUAAACUUGAGCUAAAAGAAGCUAUUAAACAACUCAAUAUUAAAGGCCGGGAAAAAAGUCUCAAUCAAACACUUCUAGCAUAUAUAGAUUUAUGUGUAUGUUGUGGAUUUCUUAAUAGAGGGUUAGCUGCUUUGAAUCAUUAUUGUUACAAGAGUGUUUCUAAUAAAGUAUCUCUAAAAAUAACAGAUAUUCGGAUUUUUACAUGUUUAAUGCAUGGUUUUGCAAGCAAGGGAAACUAUGAAAAAUUGAAAGAAAUUUGGUCAUUAUUAGAAUUAUCUCAAACAAAACCAAAUAUUCAAGCAUAUGCAGCUGCCUUUGAGUGUUUAGUUAAUAAAAAAGAACCAGGCUCAUUCGAUAUAUUACAAGAAUUAUCUAAACAAUUUUUGUCUGAUGGGUUUUCGUUUAAUAAUUUAUUUGAUAAUUGUAUCUAUGUCGGAAAUCAACGAGAACAAGUAUUAAAAGCUGUACGAUUAUUAAAUCCUUCGUUUGAACCACAUCACAGUAUUGAAAAUAUUUACUAUUCUUGCUCCCUUUUAGAUCAUUUGAAUUCACAAAAAUCUACGUUUAAAUGUCCAGCUGAAGGUCUUUUGGACGAAAAGAAAAUUCUUGAAUGUGCUCGGAAACAACUAGAAUUAGAAAUGUCUACUAUUGUAAAAGUACAGUCUGUUGACAAUAAUAAUUCUACACCAUCCCAAAAAGUUUUGGAUUAUAGAAAUAAAUUAGAAGACUUGCAAGAAAAAUGGAAAGAAACUAUAAGGAAUGCUAUUGCACGUGAAUUAGAAAGUAUACGUGCUCAGCAUAACUGUUUAAAAUCUUAUCGGAAUGUAAAUAUAUAUCCUUAUUUAAGAGUUUUAAAUACAGAGCAAUAUGUUGAUAUAAUUAUACAAGAAGUACGAAAGCUAGCCGAAGGGUCUGAAACAUUUAGUCCAACAGUAAAUUUGCUGUAUCGAAAUUUAGCUAAUCAAGUUAGAUUAAGGUACCAAAUUAAAUAUAAAAAGAAUACAAAAAUUUUGGAAAAAAUAAAAGCAGUUUACAGUGAUUAUUGUUUAUGGUAUAUGAAUAGUGAAAAUAGUGAUAGUCAAAAUACAAGACAACAAUGGCAACAAUUAAUAUAUAAAUACAAAGCAAUAGGAGCAGAUAUUGAACAAGAUGACAAACAAUGGCCUCCUACUGUAUUAAACAGCAUUGGAAAAUUUUUGUACAACAUUAUUAUUAAAGACAUAAAAAUUGAUGUUAACAUUAUGAAAGACAAUGUAGAAGAAGAGCAUUUAUUACCAGCAUUCUAUACAGUUUUUCGUGGACAAUGUCAACAUGUGAAACAAGAAAUUAAACCACAUCCUGUAUUGUCCAAACUUUAUCAGUUAUCUGAACCUAAUGAUUUAAUAUUUGAUGUUACUAUGAUUCCUAUGUUAAGUCCACCAGUUCCUUGGACUUCGAUCAAUUCUGGAGGAUAUAUUGCUGCUAAAGCAGAUCUAAUCAGGUUACCACAACAAGCUAUUUUACAAUGGCAUAGACUUGAGCAAACACCAAAACAGGAACUAUAUCCAGCCUUGGAUGCACUGAAUCAGUUGGCAUCUAUACCUUGGACUAUUAAUAAACCAGUUUUGGAUGUAGUUCUUCAAGUAUUUCGUUCUGGUGGUUCUACAAAAUUAGAUAUUCCAAAGCCUUUAUCUGCCUUCCCAUCUCCUCAACCAAUAUCACAGAGUAUGAGUAAAGAUGAACGUUCUAGGUUGUAUAAAGAGCGAGCUAUAUUAAAAAGACAAAAAGCUGAAAUGUUUAGUUUGUGGUGCGAUGCUUUAUAUAGGCUAUCAUUAGCAAAUCACUUUUGUGGUAAAACAUUUUGGUUACCUCAUAAUAUGGAUUUUCGUGGUCGAGUAUAUCCAUGUCCUCCUCACUUAAACCAUCUUGGCUCGGAUAUGGCCAGAUCAUUGUUGUGUUUUGCUAAAGGAAAACCACUUGGGUCUAAUGGUCUUAACUGGUUGAAGAUACAUUGUGUUAAUUUAACUGGACUGAAAAAAAGAAAUGCUGUUAAAGAGAGACUUCAAUAUGCAGAAGAGAUACUUCCAGAUAUAUUAGAUUCUGCUCAAAAUCCUUUAAAAGGAAAUAUGUGGUGGGCCGAAUCUGAGAAUCCUUGGCAAACUUUAGCGUGCUGUAUUGAGAUAUUUCAUGCUCUACAAUCAAAAAAUCCAGAAAACUUUAUUUCUCAUUUCCCUGUUCAUCAAGAUGGAUCAUGUAAUGGUUUGCAACAUUAUGCAGCUUUAGGUAAAGAUUUUGCUGGAGCAGUAAGUGUCAACUUAACUCCUUCUGAUAUACCACAAGAUGUGUAUAGUUGUGUUGCAGCUAUGGUUGAAAGAGAACGUUCAAAAGACGCUGCAAAUGAUGUUGUAAUAGCAAAAUAUUUAGAUGGAUUUGUUAGGCGUAAAGUAAUUAAACAGACUGUAAUGACAACAGUUUAUGGUGUAACUAGAUUUGGUGCUCGUUUACAAAUUGCUAAACAAUUAAAAGAUAUUGAUUCAUUUCCUAAAGAUAAAGUAUGGUCAGCUUCUACUUAUUUAGUGGCCAAAACAUUUGAAAGCUUAAGAGAAAUGUUCACUUCUACAAAAGAAAUACAAUCGGCCAAAUGUAAUGAAACAAAAGAAUGCCUUUCCUCCAAAUUUUAUCCACUCAUUAGAUUCUAGUCAUAUGAUGUUAACAUCCCUUCAUUGUGAACGAGCAGGUAUCACAUAUGUAUCUGUACAUGAUUGUUUUUGGACACAUCCUAAUUCUGUUGAAAUUAUGGGAAAAAUUUGUCGAGAACAAUUUGUAGCACUACAUAAUGAACCAAUUCUAGAAAAUUUAUCUAAUUUUAUGAUUAAAAAAUAUGAACUUCCUAAUUA
rnacentral:misc_RNA from 1 species